GUAUUUUUAGUAUAAUAAGUAUAACAGGUUUAGGUUUGUUGGUAAUUAAAAUA
rnacentral:tRNA from 1 species